UACAAUACACCUAGAAAUAUAUUUUUAAAAUGAAUUUACCAAAAAUGCAGCAGUUUAUGCUUAACAAUAUGACCCAUGAUGAAAUGUUUCUAAAAGGAGACUCCACAACUGCACUGAGCCCGUUUAUCCAAAACUAUCUUUGCCAAAUCAUAGGGUCUGAACGUACUCUACAAUUAAUGACCUAAUUUGUAGCACUGCAGACUCUUGACCAGCAAUAAUCUUACUUAGAGUCAAGUCUCCUAAGAAGGAUGACAGCAGGAGGUAUUUUGACAGAGUGCCAAAACAAUACUGCAAAGUCUUCAGAAGUUUUAAUUUUAUGAUGAUGAGAUCUACCAUAUCAGAUAAAAUGGUCUGAUCCCAUGAACACUGCUAAGAAAAUAAUAUGGAGAUGAUCAAGGCCAGAUCUUGCAAUGAAUAAAUGAUCACAAGAAGUAAUCAAACAAAUUGCAGAUGUCAUCAUUCCCUAUUGAGCACUGAGAAGCAUCUUGGAAAUAGGAGACUGCCAGAUUUCAAUGCUUGAGUUUACUUUUCAGAAAUUCUUUGCUUUUUCAUUUUGUUGGAGAUGAUGGGUUUUUUUGUUGUAUUGGGUUUUUUCCUCCAAACAGUCACUGACACAGCAUUACUGCCAUCAACUACUGAGCUGGCAAGCAUUACUGAAUACUAUAAUUUCUAAUGGCAGUCUUUGCUGUUUCCAUCCCAGACUAGGUCAGAAAAAAACAAUGGCCUGGAAUCCUACUUAAGUAAUUUAUUUUGGAUCUCAGGAUUGAUGGUUAUUUGUCAGAUUAGCUCAUAAACUAGCUCUAAACAUUGUUUUUCUAACUGUAUAAUAUACAUGUUUAAUAUUUGUAUGAUAAAGGGGCAGCAUAAGGAUAAAUAAAGUAGCAAAUUAAAUUUGGUUAAGCCAUCUGUUCUUUUUAGUGUCUGAUUACAAGCCAACAGCACAUCAGUUGGCCAUGGCUAAGGAAACUUUGGCCUUCACUUAACACUGAGUGCACAGGUUAGUGUUAACUAUAUCUUUGAAAAGAUUAAGAAGGAAGUUUUAAUUUUUUUAAUCAAGAAGGUAACAAAACCAGCUGAAUCUCAAAAUGAGAGUGUGUAGUAAUUUCCUUCAGGACAUGUAUUUUAUCUUAUACUUAAAGUGAGCGCAGCUGAAAAAAAGUGUCAGCUAUUGGAAUUUUGUUGCAGUUGUUUGCUUUUCUGAUGAUUAAAAGUAAAGCCUUCAAUGAUGUUGUCACUCAGAAUGGAUAUUCCUUGUAUUUAGUGACAUGAACCGUAAAUAGUUUUGAUGCUAAUAAUGGCUGUAUUCCAGCCAAAAUCAAUUUUUGUAGUAAUUUCUUAUUUGAGUUUUAGGAAUAGACAUACUCUAGUACUCCAUUUGAAAAGCUUAUGAAGGCUAACUGCAGAGUGAUAAAAGGAAAAAAUACGCAUCAAGGUUAGCAUUUCAGAAGCAUCCUUUAUACUGUGAAGACUUUCAUCCCAUUUGUUAUCAAACUGAGUCCAAAAGUCUGAGGAUAAAUAAUGUGUUUUUUUUCUAGGAGUUUCAGUAGAUACAGAUUUCCUGAAUCAGUUUCUUGAGCUGUAUUUUAAAACGUCUGCUAUCUUCUAGUCACAAAAUAUUGUCAGUUCUUAUAAUCCUUGAUUGACAAAUUUAUCCUCUUAAUAUUGUUUGAUAUUUUUUACAUUCCAAAAGGUCAGUGAAAAACUCUUCAAUGCCCAAAUCUUAACACUUCUUAUGUAUGUAAUAUAGCAAAAUCCUACUGUGUGCCCCAGACCAGCCACGUGUGUUUGAAAUAUCAUAGAAUCAUAGAAUGGUUUGGGUUGGAAGGGACCUUAAAGAUCAUCUAGUUCCAACCCCCCUGCUGCGGGCAGGGACACCCUCCACUAGACCACGUUGCCCAAAGCCUCAUCCAACCUGGCCUUGAACACUUCCAGGGAUGGGGCAUCCACAACCUCUCUGGGCAACCUGUUCCAGUGCCUCACCACUCUCACAGUAAAGAAUUUCUUUCUAACAUCUAAUCUAAAUCUACUCUCCUUCAGCUUGAACCCAUUCCCCCUUGUCCUGUCACUACACUCCCUCACCAGCUUUCCUGUAGGCCCCUUCAGGUAUUGGAAGGCCGCAAUUAGAUCUCCCCAGAGCCUUCUCUUCUCCAGGCUGAACAAUCCCAACUCUCUCAGCCUGUCCUCAUAGGAGAGGUGGUCCAGGCCUCUGAUCAGCUGAGGACCCUCUUAUCAUCAUGUAUUUGUUAAGGUGUGUUAAUAUGUGCUAACCUUAGUUUUGAAGAAUAAUACUAUUGAAUAUAUUCUGAAGACCUUUGAGGGUACUUUGAAGAGGCCAGGAUCAGCAGAAUCUGCUAUCCAGCAUAUGCUCCAAGCUUUGUUGGUACUUUCUGGGUAUUUAUAUAUUAUUAAUAUGGCAUCUUUUGAUUCAUCAAAGGCUUUUUCAACUUCAGUGCCCCUGGACAUGCUUAUAUCGUACUGUUUUGGUAGCUAUGUGUAGUUACCUUUGUAUUUUUUUUGUUUUACAUUUGCAGAUGCUAUUUAACAUGUGAACAGGAACUAGAUAAGGAGAGGAAAUUGUGGGAGUGAUGCAAUCUCGGAUAUGGAGCAAAAAAAGGGUCAGUGGAUUUUUGCCAAGCUAUCAUCUCCUGUGAAAUAGGUAUCAUAUUUUUACCAUUGAUCUCUAGUAGUCGGGAUUAAGACUGAAUGACUGAAUGUAUUGCAGCUUCAUUAUAUGAUCAAUGCAUGGAUUGCUUAGCGUUUAGAAAGUAUUUUAUAACCCUAGCUAGAAGAUGUUGUAUAUACCAUACGCAUUCAGAUUCUUAUUUGCUUGAAAAAAGCAUGCAAUAUACUAAAACAGAAGCAGUGAAUAAAGGUAUUGGCAGUGCCAGAAUUCCCAGAAGCCAAACACCAAGAAUCUGUUUAGUGCCAAACAGAAAAAAAGUUAUUUAAAGAAGCAGUGAGAAGGACUGACCUCACACCCAUUGGUUAUGGACAUCAUCUGCUUGAUGAGCUUUUUUUCAUGUACAAGUGUGGUGGGUUCUUAUAUUCAAGCCUGUUCCAUGGCAUCUGUAAGGUUGGCAGGGUCAUGGCGGGACUCAGUGACAGCUCAAAGGUAGAAAAAAGCAUCAGGUCCUUCCCCUUACAAUUUUUAAGACACUGAGAUCAGCAUGUGGCUUGUAGUGAGAGAUCUUGCCUAUAGUGAAAAGUUCAGAAUCUAAAAAAGCACACGAGUAACUAGACGCUCAGUACUCUUACUAAUAGAAGACAUUUGAAACUUUCAGCUCUCAUCUUCUUGCAGUAUCUGAUGGGUAUAGGAGUUUCUCUUCUGGUGCAGAUCAGCACAACAUUUACACCUACAUAACGUCUCCAGCAAUGCCAGAACCAGAUGCUGCUGAGGCAGUGCUAGAAUUAUUCUCUAAUGAGACACAGGAGUAUCCGCCCACUGUUAAGGCCUCUCCAGGAUAUCUAACACGGGUUGUUAGCACGUUGUCUUCCUCAGUAUUCCCCUAGUUCCCAUUUUGGGCUCUGCAGGGGAUGGAGGUAAAUCAGGCUGUCAGUGUGCAAUAAUCCACCUCCAGUUUUAACAGAAGGAUUUAGACAGAUAGAUGAAUCUCCAUUUCAUCCAGCUAAAUAUGAUCCAGAUAGUGAUGCUAUAUUGGAGUUAGCACAGCAGGAUCACCAUGAGUGGGAGUAAAGACAGAUGAUAGAUAAUAGGAAAGUCCAGGAUGCAUAAAAAAACAUCAGCAAGAAAGGUUCGUGGACUGAGCAGUUGAUUCAACACUUUGGCCUAACGGAAAUUUCUUUUUACAGAUUGCUGCGUAGUUUACUGUUCUGUAUUGCUUUUUGUGUGUGUUGGCCUUCGUGGAUGAUGUAAAUCAUUAACAUUAUCCUUCUCCUGUAAAACGUGUUUUUCACCUGUAGACUUGAUAAAGUUUGAAGCUUAGUGCUUGGAUAGUUACCUUCAGCUCUGAAUGACUGUGAAACCUGGUGCCCUUUGCUGAGAGGCUGGUUGUAUCUGAGAGGCAGGUUGUAUCAACUGCUGUUAUACGUGGGCAAAGGUCAGGGAGUUCUACCGUUUCAGAAAUACAAGACCAUUUAGAAAUCAAUAAAUGUGAACUCACAAAGUUUAUUCAAGUAACCCAAAUUCACAAGCUGCAGAAGAAAAUAGAACUCCACUAUGAUCAAGUAGAACUUCAGCUAAUUCUCUGGCUUCCUCCCCAACAAAACAAAAACGUAUACGUUAAAACAUCAUGAAAAUUAGUUCCCUUCUUACUUUCUACCAGAGUAUGGAGUUAGAAUUCAUAUGUCAUAUUGUAAAAAGGAAAAAACAACAACAAAGUCAUGUAAAAACCACCAAACCAAAAAGUCCAAAUAAAGUAAAUUGGGCAUUCUGUGCAUCAAUUUCUUCAUGUAACAAUAUGUUCCUUUUCAAAAGACUCAGGGUUCUUAGCUGAUCAGAAGUAUUCAUAAAACUCUUCCCAAAGCAAUUAAUUGGACUAAUAAUCUGUACUUGGACAGCAUUAUUAAAACACACUAACUGCAAAACCCACAGUGAGAGCUCACUCAUUAUAAGAGUAUGGGGUAGCAAAUUAAGCUGAAUGAAUUACUCUUGGCACUCUUUGUUCCUCUGUGAACAUGUAAGUAAACAAAGUUCAAACUGAGGGGAGAACCUGUCUGAUUUAAGCAAGUGUAUUGGCUAUUUGUGAGACAUCACAGGGAAAAAAUAUCAAGAAAGAAGCUACUGAAGUGUAUGGAACAAAAUAUGACCAAGGUAUAGAUUUUUCUCUAGGUGAAAAGUUCCUUUUAUUCAUAGAAGGAAGGCAACAACUAAAGAUAAAACUGGACUUCUCAAGAAAUGAAUAAUUUACUAUUUUUCGUUAAACAGUAGGUUUCACAGAACAAAGAAAAACAUACACAGUGCAAAGAAUUUCAUCUUGUAGAUAUAGUCUUAAUCUCACUUUCAUGAAUUUAUCUGAAAAUUAGUUCAGUGGGACACAUCUCUGCUAAACUUGUAUGAAAACAACCUUGACAAAGCAAAAAGGAAGGAAGCUCCAGAACAUAAACCAACAACAUUCUUGGGAAAUAUUUUUGUUGGUACACAUGGAAAUGUUUAGGCAUCAGAGAUAAGAUAGUUGCUUUAAAUUCAGAUUCUGCUGUAUUACACCCAUGCAAGUCUGGAUGUUUAAAUUCAACUGUUUUGCUUUUUUGCUUGGCAGAGCCUAAUUGAAACAAUAUUAUUUUUGCCCACAUGAUUGGAAAUAGUUUGUAAAACUCUAAUUUGUAAUACAGGUAUUUCAAAUGCUAGGACCACACAGGUCCAGUUUUAGACAGAGGCUUUUUUGCUACUGAUUUACAGCUGUUUCUUUCUUACAUUUCUCUGUGCUUUGCAGCUUCCAACUCUGAAAUCAGAUCUGCUGGGAAGGGGUGAAGGAAGAGUAGAGAGAGACCAUGCUUUGAUCCCCUGCCUCCUGAAACAUCACAGCUACCUGAAAUCCUUACAUUUUCUGUGAAUUAUUUAAAACAUUUUCUCUAAAAAGUUACAUUUUGAUGUGGAAAUGUUGCUGUAGUGCUUUAUGGCAAUAGUAGAGCAGGUGUCCCAAGGCCCUAUGCUGUAUUCUGUAGCCAGUAUGUCACACCUGCAAUGUUCUGUGACUAAGGACUCCAGCCAUGAAGUGCAGCAGCUCAGCUGCUGGUUUGGUGCAAAUGUCAUCAGAAGAUCUGGACCAAGAGCCUGGCCAGAUAGAAAAAAAAAUAAUUUUUUUAUAUAUAUAUAUAAAAAAUAUGGAAUAUAAAAUCUAUUUUAUAUAUAUAAAUAUGAUUUUUUUUCUAUAAAACCCCAUUAUACUCCUACCUUGAGAUGUUUUGCCGUGAAAGGAGAAGUUCCUUCCCCGCUGCGAUUAGCUGGUUUUUACUGCUACGCAGCAGAGUGCUCAUAGAAGAGUUGGGGAAUGUUUUCUUCUUGCUUCCAAAGACUUUCCUACCCAAGCAAGGCUGCCUCUUGGUUUGUUCAUUAUGUUGCUCACAUUUGACUUUGCUUUCUCACAGGAAGGCUUACUACUGAAUAUGUGAGGUUUAGGAUUUUGCUUGUUUCUGAUUCAUACAUAGUUUUUACUUCAAUAUUUUUCUUUCUUUAUGCUGCCUUUGUCCCAGCCUGUUUUCUGAAUUAGGUAAAUUGCUGGAACUUCUCACACGUUUGAAGAAACUGAAAAUUGUUAUUCACCGCAGGAAAAUAGAAACAGGUCAUGAUGUUCAAUACCUCUCCUUCACUGAGUAACAAGCUUCUGCAGCUUGAACUGAGAGGUUUUGUCAGGGCUAAAUAAUAGAAAUGAAAUCCAAGAAGGCUGUCAGCCCUAUCCCAGUACCCUUGAGAUGCAGAAACUUUCCCCUUUCCCUCUGGCCAUUUUAAGGUCUUUAGAUUGAUGCUUCAGCAUGUGCUAAUGGAAAGCCCUGUUCUUCGUGACUGAUCCAUGUAGAGCAAGCCAAUGGGGUGUACGCUACAGGAGAGGCACCACUCUUACGUUUAUUAGGCAUGAAAAGUAAACUUGAGAGGUUUAUACAAUCCCAGAAUAAGCCUUCCAAAUUAUGUGAAAAAUAGAGAUAUUAAAGAGUAAAGGAGAGAUAGUUUGAUUUAAACUUGGAAGUGCAGAGUUGAAUUUGUUAGAGAGAUUCAUCAUACUUUUACUAAAUAACACAUGGAAAUAAUUUAUUAAGGGCACAUAUAAUAUUUGGAUUUUAAUUUUUAAAUUAUUUUAUUUAUGUUUUAAAUUAUUUAUUAUGCUGCACUCUCAGCAGAUUGUCAAUUCAUUAGUGGAUGCAAUUCUGUCUAAAAAAUUGUGGUUGUUGUUAGUAAAGGUUUUAUAUUUGCAUGCCCAGAUACCCUGCAAGGUAUGUGUUCUCACAUUUACGUACUGUAUGUCUAAGUAUUAUUUAAAUAAAUACUCCCUUAAGCUGCCAGAACAGAGUAAAAGCAGGGAAAAAAUGUCCUUUACAGAUCUCCAGGAUGUUCAAUGUACACAAAAAAUUGGUCUUAUAUGUAUUUACCUUGAUAUUCCAGAUUAAUGAAUGCAUCAAAAUCAGGAGUUGUGUAAUGCAGUUUGCCAGGGGAACAGGAUCUUCGUGCUUCAAAACCAGGUUUGCUCCUGCAUUUUGCAGGCACCACACUGUGUUAUCCUGCUCACAAACAUGUCAAGUGCCACCUUAGGUCUGUUUAGCUCCCACUACUCCUGUUGGAAAACUGUUUCUGGUCAUCACUCUUCUCAUGGCUGGAAACUGCCUUUUAAUUUAUAACCUUAAUGUGUUCAUGAUAAGCGGAUACUCCAUUAUUUGUGUACCAGCAUAUCCUUUAGCUUUAGAAAAGCUUCAUUUUCCUCUCUGUGAUGUCUUUAUGAAGAAUAAUCCUAUCUCAUCUUAGAUUUUAUUUUGCUAGACUAAACAAACCAAAGCAUUCGAUGGAUUAAACAAGCGCUUUUUUUAAAUUUUUUCCAUAGGACAGACAUACACUCAAUUUCUCACUGCCUUGCUCUGUGCUGUUUGUGUCUCAACUUUGGCUUCUAACUGUGGCUAACCACACUAGCAUUUCAGAGGAGGAACUGCUAGAAACUUUACUUAAUAGCAUCAGUGCUUUCCUAACUCCUGACAGCACCUCAUGUCACACAUUGUGGCAUUGCAAUGGCUUUUCCAUGAUAGCAUUGCGUCAGAAGCUUAUGAUCAGUUUGGUUUUAACCACAACUGAAACAAGUACGUUUCUGCAGAUCAGCUGAUAGAGAACAUGUAGGGCUGAGUAUUUUAGUCAAUCUUGUACUUUAAUCUUUUCUCUAGUUAACUGACAUUUUGCAUAGCUGAUUACUUCAAAACACCACUGGUCAUUUAAUGACCUCUAUUUUAAAAUCACAUGCACACACAAAGGGAAUUUCCGGUAAAUGUUGGGUUUAGACUUGAGAACUUAAAUGCAAAACCACCACCAAAACGUUCAAGGUUAUUGGUACCAAGUGAGACCAAUGGGCCUGCAGUACUUUCUUUAUCAAAUACCUAUUUAAGGGUAUGUAUAUGUUUCUUUAGGAAAAAAAAUAUAGUACUUGUAGGGAAAAUGUUUGAUGGUUUGUGGUUGGUUGGUUGUUGGUUUUUUUUCAGAUUUACAUUCUCAGCCUCAGAGUUCAUGAAACAAAAGUGACUAGUUUGGCUUACUGGAAAUAAUUCUGGAUCAAGUUAAGAAUUUUAUGCAGAAUGAAAGAUGAGAGAAUGAUCUUCUCAUCAACUUUCUCCUUCAUUACAUUCUAAGAUGUGACCAACCCUAACAUCCAAAAUAGUUAGAACUGUGAUCUUUCUAACUGUUAUAUUUCACUAAAUUCUGAUGGCAUGAGUGGUGGGUGGUUGGGAGGUGAUCACUUUGUUACAAGGAGGAUUUGUCACAUUUUACAGGGAAGUCGCUUGGAAGAAAAACCAUUUCUUUUGAACCAUUUUGUAGCACUUUUUCUUUGAAGCUCAUUCUUAUCUCUUUGAGCCGCAAAAGGAAGGAAAUACCUGCUUGCUCAUUCUUCUCACAUGCCUAUUAGGUAAGCAAAUCCUGGUUUAGUCAUUGCAUUCCACUGCAGAUGCAGAGGAAUAUGUGGUGGAGCUGUUCAGUGAGAUGCCUGUUUUACUGCUGCUUCUUCUCUGGGACCAAAGAACCACAGAAAAUACUGGGAAGACAGAUUGGAAGUCAGAGGCAUCCCAGACCUACUAACAGCAGCAAAAUGAAAACUGGAGAGCUGGAAUGAUAAUAAAAUGACUGAGUUGGUAAAAACUCAACUGACGGAGCUCUCAUGUGGAACAUAUUGUGUCUACAAUGUUACAGGUCAUUUCCUUUGCCUUUCUCUAUAAACAUGUUUUUCAAAUUGGUUUCAAGUUGGUCCAGCUGCUUCAAGCACAGUAUAUUGAAAGCAUAUUAAUAUGACAGAUAACUAGCAGCUGUUGUUGGAAAAUUGACAAAGCAAAGGGUAGAUGUUGCUUCGGAGGAUGAACGUGUGCUUUCAGGCAAAACAUCUUCCUCGAUAUUUUGCUUCUCUAUGAGUUUUUCAUUGCAAAGGCUGGGCCAGUGACACAAAGAAGUCACAUUCUUUCCAGACAUAGCUCUAGCAAACAUAGCCAUGCCUUACAAGAAACAGAUAUGCUGAUGGAUUCAUUGUUCAAGGCACUGAAUGACAGAGAAAAGGUGUUCUUAAUCUCUCUGCAAUUGCUUUCUCUGUUAAAGAAGAUACUGUCAUCUGUUAACCCUGCCUCUGAUUUAUUCCUGUCCAUAGAAGUAUUUCUGUAUUGAAGAUCUGGCGAUAGUGUACGUAGCAAUACACAUGCUCCUGAUGAAAGCCAGUGUUCCAGAGGUGAUCGAAUCCAUUUAGCCAUGGCCUACCUCCUAUCUUUUCAAUUCAGACUUUGUUUUAAUUUUUUUUUUCUUCCACAAAUACAGUUUGGUUAAAACACAGGAAAGCUACACUUUUCAUGACUAAAUGAAAUAGCAUUUUCUUUCUAACCAUGGGGUUUUUUUUGUUUCUUGUCUAAAACACUGCAUGCUUGGCCUGAGAAGGAGAGGAAAACACCCAAUCUACUUAACUUGCAACACUACAUUCUUAUUUUGUAUUUAAAUCUAUCAAGACACAUACUGCUUCAAGUUUAUUGCUGUUAUGAUCCUACAAGUUUCACACAAUUCAUAUUGCCUGUAGCUGUCAAAUACUGUACAGGUUCCUUAAUAAGAGAGAAUAAACAUACACAUACUUUGAUCUACUUCACUGCUUCAAAGUUUAAAAUGCGCUCUGAGAGCUUUUCAUGGGAUUUCAAAAAAUAGUUAUCGAGAGGAGUAAUUAUGAAAGUAGUAAUUUUCUCACUGAUGUUAUUUUUCUAUAAUUGAGAGUUAGAUGGUAAGAGCAUUAUGUUUCUUUAUAUUUUUUCCCCACAGUGUAAUAUACAAGGACUUUUGAUUUAUAUACUUUUUCUUUUAUAAUUCACUCUGCCCUAAGGAACUGCAGUCAGGCAGAAGGCUAGGAGAUUGGAAGAAUGCAGACAAACUGUGGAAGCAUAUAUAAGCAACCUGACAAGCACAAAGCAUUUAAAAAAAAAUAUCUGCAUUUCCAAUAAACUUGCUUCAGGAGUUCUAGGCCACAUGGUUAGAGAAAGAUUGCCUUGUGUAGGCUGUUUCUGCCCAUUCAGAAAUUGUGCUGACCUUCAUUCCUUUCAUAAUUUUCUAGCAUUCCAGCAGCAAUUACUUACAUGGAAAAAGGGUUUAAUGUAUGUCAUACUUCUUUUAAUGCAGUUUAGCAUCUGGAAACUUGGAAGAAACCGUCUGCUUCCUAGGGACCACAUUUUGAGAAGUGCUGACUUAGGCCACAAUCCUGUGCAGUCACAAGGAUGCAACUGUACAGAGCUCUUUGUGGAUCAUUGCAGGGGGCUAUAUAAUGUUACAAGUUGAUUUUUUUUAAGUUGCAUUAAUGCUAUUUCAGAUACUUACUUGCUUUUUUUUUUCCAUUUGUCCCAAAUUGAACAUUAAUAAAAUAGCUGUUUAAGUUUUAUGCUCUUUUUAGGAAAAAAUGUAAUCAUGUUGUUAUGAAGUAGCCCAGUGCUGAGAAAAAAAGAAAA